GUAAGGACCGUUCUCCUAUGAUGUAGUCGACCCUAUCAGAAAACAUUUACUCACUUUUUGCUUUUAUACAAAAAAACAUGCCAUUUCUCCAUUUUGGUGAAAAGUGGGCCAUUAGCUAAACCACAACCUUCCUGUCCAAAGACCUUCAUGAACUACUGAAACUAUAUCUGACAGUUUGGGGAGGAAUUCAUUCUAACGGGUGAAAAUGAACCAGGUCUUUUCUGUGUAUGUGCCGGUCUUUAAGCAUAAAUGUAAAUAUAUAAAAUAUACUAAUAAUGCAUAUAGUCUCUGGUUAUCGGUGAUACUUCCCAUUCUGCACAAUUGUGACCUUUGACCCCUUGCACGUGGUCUUAAAUGUCCACAUUCUGGAUGACAUCCUGCCAGACUUUGUUGGUAUUUCACUGUUUGAUCUAGCAUGUGACUGUUUUUCCCCCCCAGCACUUGUCCCAUGUUGGCUGGCCUACUAUGCAGUUAAAUGGAAAGGUUUUUCCCCAGCACUUGUCCCAUGUUGGCUGGCCCACUAUGCAGUUAAAUGGAAAGGUUUCUCCCCAGCACUUGUCCCAUGUUGGCUGGCCUACUAUGCAGUUAAAUGGAAAGGUUUUUCCCCAGCACUUGUCCCAUGUUGGCUGGCCCACUAUGCAGUUAAAUGGAAAGGUUUUUCCCCAGCACUUGUCCCAUGUUGGCUGGCCUACUAUGCAG
rnacentral:lncRNA from 1 species